rnacentral:lncRNA from 1 species
GGAACUACAACUCCCAGCAUGCCCCUCUGCGGUGGGCGGGGCCGGAGCCUGCGGGGACUGAGCAUGUGCGGGGGCGCGAGCCGGGGCCGGGCUGCAGGCGCGCGGCCACGGACUUGCAGGAGAAGUUGCAAGGCUGCACCGGGCACGGCUCGGGCUCGCUCGCUCGCUCCCUUUCUCUCCUUCUCUCCCUCUUUUGCUCUCUGGUGCAAGAGGAGGAGCCGCGGCACCGGCCGAGCAGCUGCACUAACGGCGGCGAGAGACUUGUGGCUAGUCCGAGUUCUCCAGCUAGGCUUCUUCUCUUGCCUCAGACCCCCGUAGAUGUUGUAGACUGAGGAGAAUGUCUGGUGGGCGGUGAACUCGUCUUUUCUCCUUUGUCCUCUGAAGCAAAUACCUGCUUUUCAGCAACACUGCCUAGUGGUAGGUAUGACAGUAAGGUAUAUGAUGGGGAGAAUGUGACCGAAUCCAGCAGGGAACCCCUACUUCCCAGCAGUUGUAAUGGCA